GAUGAACGCUGGCUACAGGCUUAACACAUGCAAGUCGUGGGGAAACGGCAUUAUGUGCUUGCACAUUCUGGACGUCGACCGGCGCACGGGUGAGUAUCGCGUAUCCNNCCUGCCCCCUACUUGGGGAUACCCCGCUGAAAGACGGCCUAAUACCCGAUGUGUUUCAUUGACGGCAUCCGAUAUGAAACAAAGGUUUUCCGGUAAGGGAUGGGGAUGCGUCUGAUUAGCUUGUUGGCGGGGCAACGGCCCACCAAGGCGACGAUCAGUAGGGGUUCUGAGAGGAAGGUCCCCCACAUUGGAACUGAGACACGGUCCAAACUCCUACGGGAGGCAGCAGUGAGGAAUAUUGGUCAAUGGACGCAAGUCUGAACCAGCCAAGUAGCGUGCAGGAUGACGGCCCUAUGGGUUGUAAACUGCUUUUAUGUGGGAAUAAAGUGGCGCACGUGUGCGCCAUUGCAUGUACCUCAUGAAUAAGGACCGGCUAAUUCCGUGCCAGCAGCCGCGGUAAUACGGAAGGUCCGGGCGUUAUCCGGAUUUAUUGGGUUUAAAGGGGGUGUAGGCGGUCUGUUAAGCGUGUUGUGAAAUUUAGGUGCUCAACAUUUAACUUGCAGCGCGAACUGUCAGACUUGAGUACACGCAGCGCAGGCGGAAUUCAUGGUGUAGCGGUGAAAUGCUUAGAUAUCAUGAGGAACUCCGAUCGCGAAGGCAGCCUGCGGGAGUGUUACUGACGCUUAAGCUCGAAGGUGCGGGUAUCGAACAGG
rnacentral:rRNA from 1 species